UUUUUUUUUCCCCUUCGUCCCUCGUGUGUCUUGUGGCGUUUGCAGAACGACAACACCCACGUCCAGCAGCAACACCUCCGCCGCCAACGAGCCAGAAGACCCGCCACCAAAGCACCGCCAGGAAGACUGAGACAGGAGAGCA
rnacentral:ribozyme from 1 species